CAUACACACUCUAAAAUUAAAGAACCUUUGUGUAGUUGAAGAAAAGCACCUAUACCUAACAAGAUUGAGUGGAUACCAAUAAAAUUGGGAUAAUUUAUUAUUAGCUUCUUA
rnacentral:antisense_RNA from 1 species